rnacentral:misc_RNA from 1 species
GCAAACUUGGUCAUUUAGAGGAAGUAAAAGUCGUAACAAGGUUUCCGUAGGUGAACCUGCGGAAGGAUCAUUAUCGAGUGUUAGGGUCCUCGGGGCCCGACCUCCAACCCUGUGUCUACCAUACCUCGUUGCUUCGGCGGGCCCGUCCCCUGGUGUUCCAGGCGGACCGCUGGGGGGUCGUCUAACCCUCGGGCCUGUGCCUGCCGGUGGCCAACUAGUCAAACUCUGAUUACAACUGUGUCGUCUGAGUGUACACAAACAAAUUAAAAUAAAAACUUUCAACAACGGAUCUCUUGGUUCUGGCAUCGAUGAAGAACGCAGC